GACCGCUCCGGUGGCCUAGUGGUUAAUGCGUCCGCCUUGUAUGCGGAAGGUCGUUAGUUCGAACCCCUACCGAGUCA